rnacentral:rRNA from 1 species
UACAGAGGGGGCAAGCGUUGUUCGGAAUUACUGGGCGUAAAGAGCGCGCAGGCGGCUGGUCAAGUCCGAUGUGAAAGCUCCCGGCUUAACUGGGAAAUUGCAUCGGAAACUGAUCGGCUGGAAGGUGGGAGAGGGUAGCGGAAUUCCCGGUGUAGUGGUGAAAUGCGUAGAUAUCGGGAGGAACACCAGUGGCGAAAGCGGCUACCUGGCCCAUUCUUGACGCUGAGGCGCGAAAGCUAGGGGAGCAAACGGG